rnacentral:rRNA from 1 species
GGCCUCUACAUGUAAGCUAUCGCGUUGGGAUGGGCCCAGUUAGGAUUAGCUAGUUGGUAAGGUAAUGGCUUACCAAGGCAACGAUCCUUAGCUGGUUUGAGAGGAUGAUCAGCCACACUGGGACUGAGACACGGCCCAGACUCCUACGGGAGGCAGCAGUGGGGAAUAUUGCACAAUGGGGGAGACCCUGAUGCAGCCAUGCCGCGUGUGUGAAGAAGGCCUUCGGGUUGUAAAGCACUUUCAGCAGUGAGGAAGGUGGUGUACUUAAUACGUGCAUUGCUUGACGUUAGCUGCAGAAGAAGCACCGGCUAACUCCGUGCCAGCAGCCGCGGUAAUACGGAGGGUGCGAGCGUUAAUCGGAAUUACUGGGCGUAAAGCGCAUGCAGGCGGUUUGUUAAGUCAGAUGUGAAAGCCCGGGGCUCAACCUCGGAACCGCAUUUGAAACUGGCAGGCUAGAGUCUUGUAGAGGGGGGUAGAAUUUCAGGUGUAGCGGUGAAAUGCGUAGAGAUCUGAAGGAAUACCAGUGGCGAAGGCGGCCCCCUGGACAAAGACUGACGCUCAGAUGCGAAAGCGUGGGUAGCAAACAG